rnacentral:rRNA from 1 species
CGUGCUGCUCAGAGCAGGUAAUCCACCUGAAGCUAAGUAGAUUUGGUCCUGGCCAGUACUUGGAUGGGAGACCAAGUAAGACAGCUGGGUUGCUGCUGGA